UGUAUGAGCUUUCGUGUGCAUGCACACUUAUCUGAAGAAGUGUGCAUGCACACGAAAGCUCAUACC